rnacentral:rRNA from 1 species
UUUACGGGAGGCAGCAGUCGGGAAUAUUGUGCAAUGGGCGAAAGCCUGACACAGCCAUGCCGCGUGUGUGAAGAAGGCCUUAGGGUUGUAAAGCACUUUCAGUAAGGAAGAAAAAGCCGAGCCAAUAACUCGGUAAUAUGACAUUACUUACAGAAGAAGCACCGGCUAACUCCGUGCCAGCAGCCGCGGUAAU